GCCCCCGUAUCUCAGCGGAAGAGCGGGUGGCUAACGCCUCCAGGCCGCUGGUUCGACUCCAGCCGGGGGCA
rnacentral:tRNA from 1 species